UACGUAGGUCGCAAGCGUUGUCCGGAUUUAUUGGGCGUAAAGAGCUCGUAGGCGGCUCGUCGCGUCGUCCGUGAAAACCCGCGGCUUAACCGCGGGCUUGCGGUUGAUACGGGCGGGCUAGAGUUCGGUAGGGGAGACUGGAAUUCCUGGUGUAGCGGUGAAAUGCGCAGAUAUCAGGAGGAACACCGGUGGCGAAGGCGGGUCUCUGGGCCGAUACUGACGCUGAGGAGCGAAAGCGUGGGGAGCGAACAGG
rnacentral:rRNA from 1 species